rnacentral:rRNA from 1 species
UUAAGCGACUAAGCGUACACGGUGGAUGCCCUGGCAGUCAGAGGCGAUGAAGGACGUGCUAAUCUGCGAUAAGCGUCGGUAAGGUGAUAUGAACCGUUAUAACCGGCGAUUUCCGAAUGGGGAAACCCAGUGUGUUUCGACACACUAUCAUUAACUGAAUCCAUAGGUUAAUGAGGCGAACCGGGGGAACUGAAACAUCUAAGUACCCCGAGGAAAAGAAAUCAACCGAGAUUCCCCCAGUAGCGGCGAGCGAACGGGGAGCAGCCCAGAGCCUGAAUCAGUGUGUGUGUUAGUGGAAGCGUCUGGAAAGGCGCGCGAUACAGGGUGACAGCCCCGUACACAAAAAUGCACAUGCUGUGAGCUCGAUGAGUAGGGCGGGACACGUGGUAUCCUGUCUGAAUAUGGGGGGACCAUCCUCCAAGGCUAAAUACUCCUGACUGACCGAUAGUGAACCAGUACCGUGAGGGAAAGGCGAAAAGAACCCCGGCGAGGGGAGUGAAAAAGAACCUGAAACCGUGUACGUACAAGCAGUGGGAGCACGCUUAGGCGUGUGACUGCGUACCUUUUGUAUAAUGGGUCAGCGACUUAUAUUCUGUAGCAAGGUUAACCGAAUAGGGGAGCCGAAGGGAAACCGAGUCUUAACUGGGCGUUAAGUUGCAGGGUAUAGACCCGAAACCCGGUGAUCUAGCCAUGGGCAGGUUGAAGGUUGGGUAACACUAACUGGAGGACCGAACCGACUAAUGUUGAAAAAUUAGCGGAUGACUUGUGGCUGGGGGUGAAAGGCCAAUCAAACCGGGAGAUAGCUGGUUCUCCCCGAAAGCUAUUUAGGUAGCGCCUCGUGAAUUCAUCUCCGGGGGUAGAGCACUGUUUCGGCAAGGGGGUCAUCCCGACUUACCAACCCGAUGCAAACUGCGAAUACCGGAGAAUGUUAUCACGGGAGACACACGGCGGGUGCUAACGUCCGUCGUGAAGAGGGAAACAACCCAGACCGCCAGCUAAGGUCCCAAAGUCAUGGUUAAGUGGGAAACGAUGUGGGAAGGCCCAGACAGCCAGGAUGUUGGCUUAGAAGCAGCCAUCAUUUAAAGAAAGCGUAAUAGCUCACUGGUCGAGUCGGCCUGCGCGGAAGAUGUAACGGGGCUAAACCAUGCACCGAAGCUGCGGCAGCGACGCUUAUGCGUUGUUGGGUAGGGGAGCGUUCUGUAAGCCUGCGAAGGUGUGCUGUGAGGCAUGCUGGAGGUAUCAGAAGUGCGAAUGCUGACAUAAGUAACGAUAAAGCGGGUGAAAAGCCCGCUCGCCGGAAGACCAAGGGUUCCUGUCCAACGUUAAUCGGGGCAGGGUGAGUCGACCCCUAAGGCGAGGCCGAAAGGCGUAGUCGAUGGGAAACAGGUUAAUAUUCCUGUACUUGGUGUUACUGCGAAGGGGGGACGGAGAAGGCUAUGUUGGCCGGGCGACGGUUGUCCCGGUUUAAGCGUGUAGGCUGGUUUUCCAGGCAAAUCCGGAAAAUCAAGGCUGAGGCGUGAUGACGAGGCACUACGGUGCUGAAGCAACAAAUGCCCUGCUUCCAGGAAAAGCCUCUAAGCAUCAGGUAACAUCAAAUCGUACCCCAAACCGACACAGGUGGUCAGGUAGAGAAUACCAAGGCGCUUGAGAGAACUCGGGUGAAGGAACUAGGCAAAAUGGUGCCGUAACUUCGGGAGAAGGCACGCUGAUAUGUAGGUGAGGUCCCUCGCGGAUGGAGCUGAAAUCAGUCGAAGAUACCAGCUGGCUGCAACUGUUUAUUAAAAACACAGCACUGUGCAAACACGAAAGUGGACGUAUACGGUGUGACGCCUGCCCGGUGCCGGAAGGUUAAUUGAUGGGGUUAGCGCAAGCGAAGCUCUUGAUCGAAGCCCCGGUAAACGGCGGCCGUAACUAUAACGGUCCUAAGGUAGCGAAAUUCCUUGUCGGGUAAGUUCCGACCUGCACGAAUGGCGUAAUGAUGGCCAGGCUGUCUCCACCCGAGACUCAGUGAAAUUGAACUCGCUGUGAAGAUGCAGUGUACCCGCGGCAAGACGGAAAGACCCCGUGAACCUUUACUAUAGCUUGACACUGAACAUUGAGCCUUGAUGUGUAGGAUAGGUGGGAGGCUUAGAAGUGUGGACGCCAGUCUGCAUGGAGCCGACCUUGAAAUACCACCCUUUAAUGUUUGAUGUUCUAACGUUGACCCGUAAUCCGGGUUGCGGACAGUGUCUGGUGGGUAGUUUGACUGGGGCGGUCUCCUCCUAAAGAGUAACGGAGGAGCACGAAGGUUGGCUAAUCCUGGUCGGACAUCAGGAGGUUAGUGCAAUGGCAUAAGCCAGCUUGACUGCGAGCGUGACGGCGCGAGCAGGUGCGAAAGCAGGUCAUAGUGAUCCGGUGGUUCUGAAUGGAAGGGCCAUCGCUCAACGGAUAAAAGGUACUCCGGGGAUAACAGGCUGAUACCGCCCAAGAGUUCAUAUCGACGGCGGUGUUUGGCACCUCGAUGUCGGCUCAUCACAUCCUGGGGCUGAAGUAGGUCCCAAGGGUAUGGCUGUUCGCCAUUUAAAGUGGUACGCGAGCUGGGUUUAGAACGUCGUGAGACAGUUCGGUCCCUAUCUGCCGUGGGCGCUGGAGAACUGAGGGGGGCUGCUCCUAGUACGAGAGGACCGGAGUGGACGCAUCACUGGUGUUCGGGUUGUCAUGCCAAUGGCACUGCCCGGUAGCUAAAUGCGGAAGAGAUAAGUGCUGAAAGCAUCUAAGCACGAAACUUGCCCCGAGAUGAGUUCUCCCUGAC